rnacentral:misc_RNA from 1 species
UCGAGUUUUUGCUACACACACACACACCCUGUGCACCCGUAGUAGGUCCUCGAAAGAGGAUCUAUGUAUAUCUUUAUGAUCACACCCCAUCGUAUGUCUAUAGAAUGGUGAUAUAUAAUAUGAUA